AAGAUGUAAAUUAUAAGGCUGAGGUCUAUGUGGAGCCCACUACAACAGAAUUAGGUUAUAGGGAUACAUGUUUGGGACACUUUUGAGUAAGUGUUCCAUUUAUCCUAAAACUUAAAAAAACAUCUACUAAUGUCUAAAUAUAAAGCCCAAUCCAACCAAAAAUAAAAGAUUACUCUACUUAACCCACCACACCUAGUCCAUUUGGCCCGAUUACAAACAGAAAAAAAAAAAAAGAAAAAUCAAUUACCAUCUUUUCUUCCUUCUUCACUCAAUCCACUGAAAUUCUAGACGAAGAGCCUUUUCUGUCGUCCUCCUCCGCCACCGCAGCCAACGAGAUAGAGUUUCGGCGGUUGCUAAAUGCUUAAAUAAGUGUUGGUAAAUUAGCAGCACUCUUUUAGGUUAUAGCGACACUCUUUAAUUGUCACUAUAUACCUAGCGACCCCACAUAUAGCAACACUUUUUAAAAGUGUCGGUAAUUUUAGCUAGCAGCACUUUUUUCACAUGUACCUACAUUUAAAAGUAUCGCUAUAGACCGUUUUUGUUGUAGUGCCACCGCCUAAUAUAGCAAAAAUGACAAAAUGCCCCUCCAAAGUAAAGUAUUUCAACUUUCGUCCUCUAUAACUUAAAUCUUGAGUUUCAAAGUUCAUUUUGCGUCUAUUUUGCAUCAAACGUCUUCAACUCAAUCAAGCAUAAAUUUAUACUGUAAUCUUGCCAAUUUGCUAAGCUUCAAUAUAUCACAUAAUGGUUGUUCCUAAAGUUCACUAACAGAAUCAAACUCUCAAGGAGUAUAAUUGAAAAAACUUUGAACAUUAGAAGGAUAUAUCUCAUAUAACGUUAUAAGUGGAGUAAAUAAGAAAACCUAAAGCUUUUCAAAGGUAUUGAACAUUAGAAGGAUAUAUCUCAUAUAACGUUCUAAGUGGAGUAAAUAAGAAAACCUAAAGCUUUUCAAAGGUAUAUAAGCAAUUGUUCCAACUUAAAUUUUUUGGGGUGGGGUGGCCUCUACUAGUCACAUCAAUUAAUGCAACUAAUGGGUGCAAUGUAUAUCAUACAUCUCUUUUGAAGUGUAUGUAUAGUAUAACUCUUUAAAAAAACUAAAUUUU
rnacentral:lncRNA from 1 species